rnacentral:rRNA from 1 species
UACGUAGGGUGCGAGCGUUAAUCGGAAUUACUGGGCGUAAAGCGUGCGCAGGCGGUUUUGUAAGCCAGAUGUGAAAUCCCCGGGCUCAACCUGGGAACUGCAUUUGUGACUGCAUAGCUAGAGUACGGUAGAGGGGGAUGGAAUUCCGCGUGUAGCAGUGAAAUGCGUAGAUAUGCGGAGGAACACCGAUGGCGAAGGCAAUCCCCUGGGCCUGCACUGACGCUCAUGCACGAAAGCGUGGGGAGCAAACAGG